GGACUGAGGAUGACUUCUACAUAUACAUCUCUUGGAAAUCUGAACAAAAUGUGUGAAAACCCCUACUAUCUCGCUUAUCAAUCUGAUGUCC
ensembl:snoRNA SNORD116 Small nucleolar RNA SNORD116